rnacentral:tRNA from 2 species
GCGUUGGUAGUAUAGUGGUGAGCAUAGCUGCCUUCCAAGCAGUUGACCUGGGUUCGAUUCCUGGCCAAUGCA